GACUCCUACGGGAGGCAGCAGUGGGGAAUCUUGCGCAAUGCGCGAAAGCGUGACGCAGCAACGCCGCGUGGGGGAAGAAGGCCUUCGGGUUGUAAACCCCUUUCAGUUGGGACGAAGCUUCGGCGGUGAACAGCCGCCUAGAGUGACGGUACCUUCACAAGAAGCCCCGGCUAA
rnacentral:rRNA from 1 species